UACAGAGGUCUCAAGCGUUGUUCGGAUUCAUUGGGCGUAAAAGGGUGUGUAGGUGGCGCGCUAAGUCGGGUGUGAAAUUUCGGAGCUUAACUCCGAAACUGCAUUCGAUACUGGCGUGCUUGAGGACUGGAGAGGAGACUGGAAUUCAUGGUGUAGCAGUGAAAUGCGUAGAGAUCAUGAGGAAGACCAGUGGCGAAGGCGGGUCUCUGGACAGUUCCUGACACUGAGCACGAAGGCCAGGGGAGCAAACGGG
rnacentral:rRNA from 1 species